rnacentral:tRNA from 2 species
GGCCCCAUCGUCUAGCGGUUAGGACGCCGGCUUUUCAAGCCGGCAACCGGGGUUCGACUCCCCGUGGGGCUA